UUUUAAUUUCAUCUUUUUGUAUUAUUAAAAAUUGGCGUGAUUAAUAGAAUAAUCAGACAGUGACACGUAACAUGUUCUGUGUACCCCAUACUGAAAUACAAGAAUCAAAUUUUAACAGUAAAAACGGAUGAAUUUUUUAAUA
rfam:Gossypium raimondii Chr04_contig_226, whole genome shotgun sequence.